rnacentral:rRNA from 1 species
AGCGAACGUUAGCGGCGGGCCUAACACAUGCAAGUCGAACGCGAAAGGUCUUCGGACUGAGUAGAGUGGCGCACGGGUGAGUAACACGUAGGUAAUCUACCCUUUGGCGGGGGAUAACGUUCUGAAAGGAGCGCUAAUACCGCAUAAGACCACGGAGUCUCCGGACGCUGUGGGAAAAGGUGGCCUCUUCUUGAAAGCUACCACCGAAGGAUGAGCCUGCGUCCCAUCAGCUAGUUGGUAAGGUAAUGGCUUACCAAGGCGAAGACGGGUAGCUGGUUUGAGAGAAUGAUCAGCCACACUGGCACUGGAACACGGGCCAGACUCCUACGGGAGGCAGCAGUGAGGAAUAUUGGGCAAUGGGCGAAAGCCUGACCCAGCCACGCCGCGUGAGUGAUGAAGGCCCUCGGGUCGUAAAGCUCUGUGGAGAGGGACGAAAACCCUGGUUUCAAAUAGGCUCCAGGCUUGACGGUACCUCUUUAGCAAGCACCGGCUAACUCUGUGCCAGCAGCCG